rnacentral:sRNA from 1 species
GGCCCGGCCUCUCACUCGCUCCCCUCUCGUCCGCAGCCGCAGGGCCGUAGGCAGCCAUGGCGCCCAGCCGGAAUGGCAUGGUCUUGAAGCCCCACUUCCACAAGGACUGGCAGCGGCGCGUGGCCACGUGGUUCAACCAGCCGGCCCGGAAGAUCCGCAGGUGAGCCCUGCGCUCGGGGCUGCCCCUGGGGCUGGUGCCCGCGGCUGCGCCUUGGUUUGGGGGUGGCCGAUGCCAGGGCGGGGGGCGCUGUCUGCGACCGUCGCGGAGCUCUGGCCUGGCGGCCUUAGGCAAGGGUGACCGCCGCUGCGCUUCUCUCCACCAGACGCAAGGCCCGGCAAGCCAAGGCGCGCCGCAUCGCCCCGCGCCCCGCGUCGGGGCCCAUCCGGCCCAUCGUCCGCUGCCCCACGGUUCGGUACCACACGAAGGUGCGCGCCGGCCGCGGCUUCAGCCUGGAGGAGCUCAGGGUGGCCGGCAUUCACAAGAAGGUGGCCCGGACCAUCGGCAUUUCUGUGGAUCCGAGGAGGCGGAACAAGUCCACGGAGUCGCUGCAGGCCAACGUGCAGCGGCUGAAGGAGUACCGCUCCAAGCUCAUCCUCUUCCCCAGGAAGCCCUCGGCCCCCAAGAAGGGAGACAGUUCUGCUGAAGAACUGAAACUGGCCACCCAGCUGACGGGACCAGUCAUGCCCAUCCGGAAUGUCUAUAAGAAGGAGAAAGCUCGAGUCAUCACUGAGGAGGAGAAGAAUUUCAAAGCCUUCGCUAGUCUCCGCAUGGCCCGUGCCAACGCCCGGCUCUUCGGCAUACGGGCAAAAAGAGCCAAGGAAGCUGCAGAACAGGAUGUUGAAAAGAAAAAAUAAAGCCCUCCUGGGGACUUGGAAUCA